UACGUAGGGCGCAAGCGUUGUCCGGAAUUAUUGGGCGUAAAGAGCUCGUAGGCGGUUUGUCGCGUCUGCUGUGAAAACCUAAGGCUCAACCUUGGGCUUGCAGUGGGUACGGGCAGACUAGAGUGCGGUAGGGGUGACUGGAAUUCCUGGUGUAGCGGUGGAAUGCGCAGAUAUCAGGAGGAACACCAAUAGCGAAGGCAGCUCGCUGGGGACGUUACUGACACUGAGGCGCGGAAAGCGUGGGGAGCGAACAGG
rnacentral:rRNA from 1 species